UACGGAGGGAGCUAGCGUUGUUCGGAAUUACUGGGCGUAAAGCGCACGUAGGCGGCUAUUCAAGUCGGGGGUGAAAGCCCGGGGCUCAACCCCGGAACUGCCCUCGAAACUAGAUAGCUAGAAUCUUGGAGAGGCGAGUGGAAUUCCGAGUGUAGAGGUGAAAUUCGUAGAUAUUAGGAAGAACACCGGUGGCGAAGGCGGCCCACUGGUCCGGUACUGACGCUGAGGUGCGAAAGCGUGGGGAGCAAACAGG
rnacentral:rRNA from 1 species